CGAACGGGCUUCUUCGGAAGUCAGUGGCAGACGGGUGAGUAACACGUGGGAACGUGCCCUUCGGUUCGGAAUAACUCAGGGAAACUUGAGCUAAUACCGGAUACGCCCUUAUGGGGAAAGGUUUACUGCCGAAGGAUCGGCCCGCGUCUGAUUAGCUUGUUGGUGGGGUAACGGCCUACCAAGGCGACGAUCAGUAGCUGGUCUGAGAGGAUGAUCAGCCACACUGGGACUGAGACACGGCCCAG
rnacentral:rRNA from 1 species